UGGCUCAGUGGUAGAGCACUUGCCUCGCAUGCAUGAGGCCUUGGGUUCAAUCCCCAG
rnacentral:tRNA from 1 species